CCUGCCACGGGAUGUCCCUCUCUCACCCUUUCCCAAGGCUUUCCAUGGCGUCAUUCGAACCCCAAGAAAUAAAAAAUAUCUAGUGCUAGCAGCAAAGGCUGAUGCGUUAAAUUCUAAUGGAUUUUGUCAUGAGUUAUGAAGUAUCCGGGAAGUUUCUGACAAGAAAUUCGACAUCCAUGACUGCUGCAGCCAGUCACCAUCUUUUAAACUAAUUAGCGUACUAAAGCUUAUG
rnacentral:lncRNA from 1 species